rnacentral:rRNA from 1 species
GUGGGGAAUAUUGGACAAUGGGGGGAACCCUGAUCCAGCCAUGCCGCGUGUGUGAAGAAGGCCUUUUGGUUGUAAAGCACUUUAAGCGAGGAGGAGGCUACCGAGAUUAAUACUCUUGGAUAGUGGACGUUACUCGCAGAAUAAGCACCGGCUAACUCUGUGCCAGCAGCCGCGGUAAUACAGAGGGUGCAAGCGUUAAUCGGAUUUACUGGGCGUAAAGCGCGCGUAGGUGGCCAAUUAAGUCAAAUGUGAAAUCCCCGAGCUUAACUUGGUAAUUGCAUUCGCGACUGGUUGGCUAGAGUAUGGGAGAGGAUGGUAGAAUUCCAGGUGUAGCGGUGAAAUGCGUAGAGAUCUGGAGGAAUACCGAUGGCGAAGGCAGCCAUCUGGCCUAAUACUGACACUGAGGUGCGAAAGCAUGGGGAGCAAACAGGAUUAGAAACCCCGGUAGUCC